UACGUAGGGUGCGAGCGUUGUCCGGAAUUACUGGGCGUAAAGAGCUCGUAGGUGGUUUGUCGCGUUGUUCGUGAAACUCACAGCUUAACUGUGGGCGUGCGGGCGAUACGGGGCAGACUGGAGUACUGCAGGGGGAGACUGGAAUUCCUGGUGUAGCGGUGAAAUGCGCAGAUAUCAGGAGGAACACCGAUGGCGAAGGCAGGUCUCUGGGCCGAUAUUGACGCUGAGGAGCGAAAGCGUGGGGAGCGAACAGG
rnacentral:rRNA from 1 species